rnacentral:rRNA from 1 species
GAAGCAAGACCGUGAGGUGGAGCAAAACUCAAAAACUUAGUCUCAGUUCGGAUUGUAGGCUGAAACUCGCCUACAUGAAGCUGGAGUUGCUAGUAAUCGCGAAUCAGCAUGUCGCGGUGAAUACGUUCCCGGGCCUUGUACACACCGCCCGUCACACCAUGAGAGUUGGCAAUACCCAACGUACGUGAUCUAACCCGCAAGGGAGGAAGCGUCCUAAGGUAGGGUCAGCGAUUGGGGUGAAGUCGUAACAAGGUACC